GCCGGGUGCAGUGGCACGUGCCUGUAGUCCCAGCUACUUGGGAGGCUGAGCCCAGGAGUUCUGGACUGUAGUGCACUAUACUGAUCGGAUGUCUACAUUAAGUUCGGCAUCAAGAUGGUGACCUCGCAGGAGCAGGGUGCCACCAGGUUGCCUAAGGAGGGGUGAACUGGCCCACAUCAGAAACAGAGCAGGUCAAAACUCCCGAGCUGAUCCGUAGCGGGAUCGUGCCUGUGAAUAGCCACUGCACUCCAGCCUGGGCAACAC
ensembl:misc_RNA Metazoa_SRP Metazoan signal recognition particle RNA